rnacentral:rRNA from 1 species
GGGUCAUUAGGUUGGUCGUGCCACCGGUACGUACUGGUCUCACUGAUUCCUCCUUCCUGAAGAACCGUAAUGCCAUUAAUCUGGUGUUGCGGGGAAACAGGACUGUUACUUUGAAAAAUUAGAGUGUUUAAAGCAAGCUAACGCUUGAAUACAUUAGCAUGGAAUAAUGAAAUAGGACGAUCGAUCCUAUUUUGUUGGUUUCUAGGAUUGACGUA